AUGUACUAGCCUGCCGAUUCCUCCUUCUUGUAGAACCGUAAUGCCAUUAAUUUGGUGUUGCGGGGAAACAGGACUGUUACUUUGAAAAAAUUAGAGUGUUUAAAGCAGGCUAGCGCCUGAAUACAUUAGCAUGGAAUAAUGAAAUAGGACGUUCGAACCUAUUUUGUUGGUUUCUAGGAUUGACGUAAUGAUUAAUAGGGAUAGUUGGGGGCAUUAGUAUUCAAUUGUCAGAGGUGAAAUUCUUGGAUUUAUUGAAGACUGACUACUGCGAAAGCAUUUGCCAAGGAUGUUUUCAUUAAUCAAGAACGAAAGUUAGGGGAUCGAAGACGAUCAGAUACCGUCGUAGUCUUAACCAUAAACUAUGCCGACUAGGGAUCGGAUGAUGUUAAUUUUUUAAUGACUCAUUCGGCGCCUUACG
rnacentral:rRNA from 1 species